ACGAACGCUGGCGGCGUGGAUAAGACAUGCAAGUCGAACGCUGAUUUCAGGGUAGCAAUAUUCUGGAGUCGGAGUGGCGCAAGGGUGCGUAACACGUGGGUAAUUUGCCAUGAAGCCCGGAAUAACUCGCUGAAAGGCGAGCUAAUACCGGAUGUGAUCUUCGGGAGGCAUCUCCUGAACCUCAAAGCUGGGGACCGUAAGGCCUGGCACUUCUUGAUAAGCCCGCGGCCUAUCAGCUAGUUGGUGAGGUAACGGCUCACCAAGGCUAAGACGGGUAGCUGGUCUGAGAGGACGACCAGUCACACUGGAACUGAGACACGGUCCAGACACCUACGGGUGCAGCAGUCGAGAAUUUUUCUCAAUGGGCGAAAGCCUGAAGGAGCGACGCCGCGUGGGGGAUGAAGCAUUUCGGUGUGUAAACUUC
rnacentral:rRNA from 1 species